rnacentral:tRNA from 1 species
GGGGUUGUAGCUCAGUGGUAGAGCGCUUGCCUAGCAUGUGUGAGACCCUGGGUUCGAUCCUCAGCACCA